UGAACCUGCGGAGGGAUCAUUACUGAGUUAUCAAAACUCCAAACCCUUUGUGAACCUUACCGUCGUUGCCUCGGCGUGAGCUACGGCUACCCUGUAACUACCCUGGAGCUACCCUAGAGUUACCCUAUAGCUACCCUGCACUUACCCUGCAGCUACCCUAUAGCUACCCUAGAGCUACCCUGGAGCUACCCUGUAGUCGGCUUCGGCCCGCCGAAGGACCCUUAAACUCUUGUUUUUACCACUGCUUCUCUGAAUUUUAAACUAAAAUUAGUUAAAACUUUCAACAACGGAUCUCUUGGUUCUGGCAUCGAUGAAGAACGCAGCGAAAUGCGAUAAGUAAUGUGAAUUGCAGAAUUCAGUGAAUCAUCGAAUCUUUGAACGCACAUUGCGCCCAUUAGUAUUCUAGUGGGCAUGCCUAUUCGAGCGUCAUUUCGACCCCUAAGCCCCUGUUGCUUAGCGUUGGGAAUCUACGGCGUAGUUCCUCAAAGUUAGUGGCGGAGUUAGGGUACACUCUCAGCGUAGUAAUUUCUCUCGCUCGUGUGGUGGCCCUGGCUGCUAGCCGUUAAAACCCCUAUAUUUUCUAGUGGUUGACCUCGGAUUAG
rnacentral:rRNA from 1 species